UACGAAAGGUGCAAGCGUUGUUCGGAAUGACUGGGCGUAAAGCGCACGUAGGUGGGCUUGUAAGUCGGAUGUGAAAGCCCUGGGCUUAACCUGGGAAUGGCACCCGAAACUAUAAGUCUUGAAUGCCUGAGAGGUUGGUGGAAUUCCUGGUGUAGGAGUGAAAUCCGUAGAUAUCAGGAGGAAUAUCGGAGGCGAAGGCGGCCAACUGGUGGUGCAUUGACACUGAGGUGCGAAAGCGUGGGGAGCAAACAGG
rnacentral:rRNA from 1 species